rnacentral:tRNA from 1 species
UCUGUGGCUCAGUCGGCAGAGCGACGCACUCGUAAUGCGUAGGUCAUCGGUUCGAAUCCGAUCA